rnacentral:rRNA from 1 species
AGCGAACGCUGGCGACAGGCCUAACACAUGCAAGUCGAACGAACCUUUCGGGGUUAGUGGCGGACGGGUGAGUAACACGUGGGAACGUGCCUUUAGGUUCGGAAUAACUCAGGGAAACUUGUGCUAAUACCGAAUGUGCCCUUCGGGGGAAAGAUUUAUCGCCUUUAGAGCGGCCCGCGUCUGAUUAGCUAGUUGGUUGAGGUAAUGGCUCACCAAGGCGACGAUCAGUAGCUGGUCUGAGAGGAUGAUCAGCCACAUUGGGACUGAGACACGGCCCAAACUCCUACGGGAGGCAGCAGUGGGGAAUCUUGCGCAAUGGGCGAAAGCCUGACGCAGCCAUGCCGCGUGAAUGAUGAAGGUCUUAGGAUUGUAAAAUUCUUUCACCGGGGACGAUAAUGACGGUACCCGGAGAAGAAGCCCCGGCUAACUUCGUG